rnacentral:lncRNA from 1 species
UGGGUCUCAGUUUUUCAAGUGCCCCCUCAUGUGGAUGAGAAGUGCCUAUAGCAUGACUUUUAUACGCCUAUAAAAAUAAGACACCUGAUUGGUUGCUUUGCAGAAGCACAGGAAGUUCAGGGUUUCUAAUAACCACCCAGAGACACAGUUACCAUAGAGACAAAGAUAAGCCCCCCUUUCUCAAAAAACGUCUGCAUGUCAUCACAGAUGCCUGCAGAAAGUGUUCACUCCUGCCAGUUCUCCCAUUAGCAUCUGCUGAAACAUUACAACGCAGCUGUCUCAUGAAGGUCAUUUUUUUCUUCAAAUGUACUCUCUACUUGCUUUGCAGGGGGUGUAUGAAGAAGUACUUUUAUGAAAGGAAGAGGCUAAAGUGAAGUGCUUUCUUGGUUAAGCAGUUUCGUGAGUAUGCAGGGUAGGUGAUUGCUUUAGAAACACUUGAAAGAGUCUGCAUCAGUACUGGCUGAUGCUGUUGUCCUCAGCUUUUCACACAACAAGGGCAUUUAGCACCCAUCAAGCAAGACUGCUAACGUUCACCAGAAAAAGGCUUGUCCUGAUUUCCCACAGCAGUUCUAAAUUCCUUCUGGCUAUUCAAGGGUGACCAUGAGAUUGUAAUGGUAUAUCAUACCAUUAAAAGGACAUACAUCACACACACUAUUUGUUAGAUUUAAAUCCUUAUAUUUCUAUACAGCAGCAUUUCUACUAUGAAUAAUCUGUUUCACUGUAUACUGUGGUUAUACUGUAUACUGUGAGGCAUUAAAAGUGAAAAAAU